rnacentral:rRNA from 1 species
CCUACGGGAGGCAGCAGUGGGGAAUCUUGCGCAAUGGGGGAAACCCUGACGCAGCGACGCCGCGUGNAUGAUGAAGGCCUUCGGGUUGUAAAGUCCUGUUUUGGGGGAAGAAACNUUAAGGGUCCAAUAAACCCUUGAAUUGACGGUA